UACGAAGGGGGGCUAGCGUUGCUCGGAAUCACUGGGCGUAAAGCGCACGUAGGCGGCUUUCUAAGUCAGGGGUGAAAUCCUGGAGCUCAACUCCAGAACUGCCUUUGAUACUGGAGAGCUUGAGUCCGGAAGAGGUGAGUGGAACUCCGAGUGUAGAGGUGAAAUUCGUAGAUAUUCGGAAGAACACCAGUGGCGAAGGCGGCUCACUGGUCCGGUACUGACGCUGAUGUGCGAAAGCGUGGGGGAGCAAACAGG
rnacentral:rRNA from 1 species